CCUGCCGCCGGACGGUGCCGGUCGCGAGGGUUGGGGAGCCCAAAGACCGACACCGCCACCGAGAACCACGAGGGUACAUGGGAGCCCACGCUGGUCCGCUCCGGCGAAGGAG
rnacentral:sRNA from 1 species